AACCCGUGAUGUGGGAAAGCUCUCAUCAGCUCCUUGUAUCACUCUCACGCUUCAAAUAGUGGUUCACCAUCCAUCUGUCUAAAGUAGGUAAUUUAGUUCCGUAACU